rnacentral:rRNA from 1 species
AUUGAACGCUGGCGGCAUGCCUUACACAUGCAAGUCGAACGGCAGCACGGGAGCAAUCCUGGUGGCGAGUGGCGAACGGGUGAGUAAUAUACCGGAACGUGCCCAGUCGUGGGGAUAACGUAGCGAAAGCUACGCUAAUACCGCAUACGAUCUAUGGAUGAAAGCGGGGGAUCGCAAGACUUCGCGCGAUUGGAGCGGCCGAUAUCAGAUUAGGUAGUUGGUGAGGUAAAGGCUCGACCAAGCCGACGAUCUGUAGCUGGUCUGAGAGGACGACCAGCCACACUGGGACUGA